rfam:Ailuropoda melanoleuca scaffold117_128, whole genome shotgun sequence.
UUUCUAGUAUAAGUAUGUCCCAUGUGAUAUUUGGGAUAUACUUACACUAAAA